UGCCCACUUUUUAUACCACCCUCAAUGUUUAUUAUCUAGAACUCUGUUUACAAUUUUGUUUUCAUAUUAUUUUUUCCUUUUUUUUUCUUACAGAGCUCUAAAUAAUAAAAAUAUCAGAUGAUAAUGGCUAUCGUGAAAAACUUUCUUUCUAUGGUUUAAUUUUUGGUAUACCCCUCAGUAUUUUGAAUUGGUCUUUUUUAUCUUUAG
rnacentral:lncRNA from 1 species